AAUCAUCAGAACCAAUAUAACGCUUCGCCCAGCAGGCUCACGACCAAUCAUCAGAACCAAUAUAACGCUUCGCCCAGCAGGCUCACGACCAAUCAUCAGAACCAAUAUAACGCUUCGCCCAGCAGGCUCACGACCAAUCAUCAGAACCAAUAUAACGCUUCGCCCAGCAGGCUCACGACCAGGCUCACGACCAAUCAUCAGAACCAAUAUAACGCUUCGCCCAGCAGGCUCACGACCAAUCAUCAGAACCAAUAUAACGCUUCGCCCAGCAGGCUCACGACCAAUCAUCAGAACCAAUAUAACGCUUCGCCCAGCAGGCUCACGACCAAUCAUCAGAACCAAUAUAACGCUUCGCCCAGCAGGCUCACGACCAAUCAUCAGAACCAAUAUAACGCUUCGCCCAGCAGGCUCACGACCAGGCUCACGACCAAUCAUCAGAACCAAUAUAACGCUUCGCCCAGCAGGCUCACGACCAAUCAUCAGGGCUAUAUUUACGCAAUAGCAAUGUAGCGUUUUUCAGCAUCCCAACAGCUUUACGGUUGAACGGUGAUUGAAACAGAGACCGUCUAAUCAACAAAAAA
rnacentral:lncRNA from 1 species